rnacentral:rRNA from 1 species
UCGUACGAAAGUGUUAAAACUUUAGUGGCGGACGGGUGAGUAACACGUGAGAAUUUACCUUUAGGAGGGGAAUAACAGUUGGAAACGACUGCUAAUGCCGCAUAUCAUAACUAUGAAAGAAGAAAUUCGCCUAAAGAAAAGCUUGCGUCUGAUUAGCUAGUUGGUAAGGGUAAAGGCCUACCAAGGCGACGAUCAGUAGCUGGUUUGAGAGGACGACCAGUCACACUGGAACUGAGACACGGUCCAGACUCCUACGGGAGGCAGCAGUGGGGAAUUUUCCGCAAUGGGCGAAAGCCUGACAGAGCAAUACCGCGUGAGGGAAGAAAGCCCACAGGGUUGUAAACCUCUUUUGUCAAGGAAGAAGUUCUGACGUUACUUGACGAAUAAGCAUCGGCUAACUCCGUGCCAGCAGCCGCGGUAAGACGGGGGAUGCAAGUGUUAUCCGGAAUCACUGGGCGUAAAGCGUUUGUAGGUGGUUUAGUAAGUCUAUUAUUAAAGCUUGAAGCUUAACUUCAAAAAUGUAAUAGAAACUACUAGACUUGAGGAUAGUAGGGGUAAAGGGAAUUUCCAGUGGAGCGGUGAAAUGCGUAGAGAUUGGAAGGACCACCGAUGGCGAAGGCACUUUACUGGGCUAUUUCUGACACUAAGAGACGAAAGCUAGGGUAGCGAAUGGGAUUAGAUACCCCAGUAGUCCUAGCUGUAAACGAUGGAUACUAGAUGUUGCGUGUAUCGAUCC